UGCAAGUCGAGCGAACCCUUCGGGGUUAGCGGCGGACGGGUUAGUAACGCGUGGGAAUAUGCCCAAAGGUACGGAAUAGCCUCGGGAAACUGAGAGUAAUACCGUAUGUGCCCUUCGGGGGAAAGAUUUAUCGCCUUUGGAUUAGCCCGCGUUGGAUUAGGUAGUUGGUGGGGUAAUGGCCUACCAAGCCGACGAUCCAUAGCUGGUUUGAGAGGAUGAUCAGCAACACUGGGACUGAGACACGGCCCAG
rnacentral:rRNA from 1 species